GACGGUGAUGCCACGGGACGGGGGCCGAGGCGUCGGUUGCAAUUAGAAUCCACCCGCCGGUGAUUUAGGACGCAAUCCAUCGCAGUUGAUGUGGCAUUAAUCGCAAUUCAUGUGCGCUACUGGCCGUCAACCGAUUAUUGCAGGUGUUCUCCCAUCUCGGUUGAGGUAUUGGAACUGCCGAACUGGUUCUUGUGGUUAGUUAGGUUGCCCCCCAGCUCUAUGAUAGGUUCGAAGAAGACGUGCAAGGUACCGACAACCAAGAGAAGAAGGGAAGAAGCAAUGAGCACAAGGUGCACGAGGAGCAAAGUGAUGGCAAGAAGCUUAAGGAACA